ensembl:lncRNA
UCACAGGCAGCAGAGAACUGGAAGGAAAGGCGGCCAAAUGAGGUGUUGGCUUUAGGGAUGAUCAGUGAGAUACACCUGCUGGAGCGCGUGCUACGGAUGGGUGUUGCCAUCGUGACCAGUGAACUGAGAUAAGGCGGAGCUUUACCUAGCAUGGACUUGUAGAUGACCUGGAGCCAGUGGGUGAUGAAAGGGGACAUAAGAUAAAACACUUAUGUAAACACCAGUACGUACACCAGUAACAUGUGAAACAGGAAAUGAACUACCAUCCUGAAGUAUGACUAAAAAUAAAAAGCACAGCAGUUUUUUGGGGCGAGACAAACGGGAGACGUUCAUCAGUAGGAAUAAACACCAUCCAUGUUACCGUGACGUCGACGGGCUCAGUUCCAUCUCUUGGCUAUCAACCCCCCUCCCUCCCUCCAACACCUACAAGCAGAUGACAAAUACAAUGACAGCAAUUGUAAAACAUCCACCUGGGCUCCUUUGAGUUCAAAUGUUUACCCAAAAUACCUGAUUUCACACUGUCGUCUUGUUUUCUGACGAUUGGGCUAGGUGUUGCAUGUCUAGUGUGGGGGCUAGGUGUUGCAUGUCUAGUGUGGGGGCUAGGUGUUGCAUGUCUAGUGUGGGGGCUAGGUGUUGCAUGUCUAGUGUGGGGGCUAGGUGUUGCACACACACGUUCUGGACAUUGCAACAGUUCAUUCAUGCAUAGAUCAUCAGAAACACUACAAACAUACCACCAGCAUGUAUACAGGUUUCAGACCACCAGCAUGCAUACAGGUUUCAGACCACCAGCAUGUAUACAGGUUUCAGACCACCAGCAUGCAUACAGGUUUCAGACCACCAGCAUGUAUACAGGUUUCAGACCACCAGCAUGUAUACAGGUUUCAGACCACCAGCAUGCAUACAGGUUUCAUACCACCAGCAUGCAAUGCAACGGUCAUUGACAGCUGUAUAAGAUGCUUGGUUAGUAUAGCCAGAGUUGAUGUCUCAAGAGAUACAUUAGAUAGAGUUGUAGCUAUAAAUGAUCGUGUUAGGGUUAUAGAGAGGUAUAAUGUUAUAGCUACCUCAACCAUAAUGUUCUUCUCUGGGGAUUUUGUAGAGACAUUGCAUCUCUUCUUGGCACCCCUGCCUGUAGUUGGUGGGCUUUCUUCCCGUUGACGCUUCUUCUCGGGUACCUCAUUCACGGAAUCACAGUUAAAACACCUGGUCUUGGUAUCACUAACAAAAAAGCUGUUAGAAUUGUAAGUAUAUGCAUGUCCCUGUGUAAUUGUAAUGUGAUAUUGUACCCCCUAGCGCGAUUGUCCAUGGUUUGUAAUCUAUGUAUGCUUGUGUUCUCUCAUGUGCUUUAUGUAUUGAUUUGUUGUUAAUAAUAAAACAUUUAAAAUAAUAAAAAACCUGGUCUUGGUAUCAUCUCUUCCGGUCUCUACUGGGCCUUGUUGGGAAUUCAUAACUUCUUCGCCGGGAGUUCCAAACGCCGGUGUUUGCGUUGUAGCUUUCCAUGCAUGUAACACAUGCAUGGUCUUUUCAACCUUACUAAUGUUACGAAAACACUUCUGACAUCAUUGUCGAUGUAUCUUCGUGCAGUGUCAGGUUUAUGCCGAGGGAUGAUAACCUAGUCAGAAUGGUACAAUUCGACUUUGACACAAGGGAACGCACAUGUUGGAGCGCACCAAAUAUCCUUCGAUUUUGGUCGCAGAGACGGCAUCUAUCAAGAUGGUUUGCAGCUUUAGGCAUAGUUCAACAAAACAGUGGCGCAACUAAACUGUAC